GACGAACGCUGGCGGCGUGCCUAACACAUGCAAGUCAACUUGACUGAAGGAGCAAUCUGACAGUAGAGUGGCGCAAGGGUGCGUAACGCGUAAGUAACUUGCCCAAGGUAAGGAAUAACGUCGAGAAAUCGGCGCUAAUACCUCAUAAUGCAGCGGAUCCGCAUGGAUAUGUUGUUAAAGGUUUACCGCCUUGGGAUAGGCUUGCGUCUGAUUAGCUAGUUGGUGUGGUAACGGCACACCAAGGCUACGAUCAGUAACUGGUCUGAGAGGAUGAUCAGUCACACUGGAACUGAGACACGGUCCAGACUCCUACGGGAGGCAGCAGUGAGGAAUAUUGGGCAAUGCUCGAAAGAGUGACCCAGCAACGCCGCGUGGAGGAUGAAGGUAUUCUAUAUCGUAAACUCCUGUGAGAGCAGACGAAAGACAGAUUAUUAAUCUGGAUGACUGUAUGCUCAGAGGAAG
rnacentral:rRNA from 1 species